UCAGCCCAUGCUUAUCGCCGAUGUGUGAGGACGUAAAAUCAUGCAGCGCAUAAAGACUUGGAUGUAAUUUUAUGGACUGAAACUCAGUUGAGGUCAAGAGUUAAUACUAAAGACCGAACACUUGGCAGCAGCUUUCUUGGUUAGAUUCCAUUACAUGAAUUCUAUUAAAGUACCUUUAUGAAGAGGAAAUAGAGACAAGACAAUUCAUGGUCAGCAAAUAAAACUGGAAUUGUUAUUCAGAGUUGGAAAAUGUUGGUCGCCAAAGAAAUCUUUUGAGCGAUCAAGUUAUUUAUUUUCAAGAAAGAAAACAAGGAAUUGGAUGCUGUUCACUGAUGAUGGAAAUUCCAUUUACAGUGUACUGCUUGAAUUUAAGUUUGGAUUAAACCUAUUAACUCCCA